AAAUAAAGAGCCUGGAACUGGCAUAUGACACUUCACUAGACCUUACUGGUCAAAACAGUCACAAGCCAGCUCAGAUUUAAGAAGAGGAGAAAUAGGUGGCAGCUCUUGAGUAGAAAAGUAUCAAAGACUUUGCAGCCAUUGCCAGUGCACCAUAGAGACUAUGAUUAUUUCCAAAUACAAAUGAGGAAACCAAGACCUAGGGAGGAGAGACUGGCUGACUCUUCUGUGUCACAUAGCCAAUGUUUUAGCCCCAGAAAGUGGACUCCUCAACUUCUCUCAGGCUUUGAUUUAUAACCUUGAAACCAUUCCCAAGUUGUGACUAGACCCAUGGAUUUUUCUAGUCUUCUUAAGAGAAGGAAGCAGACUAAAGAGACUAAACUCCUUUUUGUGAAGAAGAGAAACUGUCCUGACAGCUUUAGGCUGCUAAACAUCCCAAGGUGCUUGACAACAGUGGGCAUGGAGAGGUUAGAACUCUUAACCUCACCCAACAUUGGAAGACAGAGAAUGGAGAAAAACAUGGAUAAAUCAACAUAGAAAAAGCCUCAGCUUCAUCCUCUACUCCUUGCCAAAACUGCCCCUGUGUGUAAGUUCCGUGAAUGUAAAUGCAAGGUAUGCUGACUCUGAAUUUUGGAAUGUUGGGUA